GAUGAACGCUGGCGGCGUGCCUAAUACAUGCAAGUCGAGCGAACGGACGAGAAGCUUGCUUCUCUGAUGUUAGCGGCGGACGGGUGAGUAACACGUGGAUAACCUACCUAUAAGACUGGGAUAACUUCGGGAAACCGGAGCUAAUACCGGAUAAUAUUUUGAACCGCAUGGUUCAAAAGUGAAAGACGGUCUUGCUGUCACUUAUAGAUGGAUCCGCGCUGCAUUAGCUAGUUGGUAAGGUAACGGCUUACCAAGGCAACGAUGCAUAGCCGACCUGAGAGGGUGAUCGGCCACACUGGAACUGAGACACGGUCCAGACUCCUACGGGAGGCAGCAGUAGGGAAUCUUCCGCAAUGGGCGAAAGCCUGACGGAGCAACGCCGCGUGAGUGAUGAAGGUCUUCGGAUCGUAAAACUCUGUUAUUAGGGAAGAAAAUAUGUGUAAGUAACUGUGCACAUCUUGACGGUACCUAAUCAGAAAGCCACGGCUAACUACGGG
rnacentral:rRNA from 1 species